UUGGUGGGGUAACGGCCUACCAAGGCUACGAUCCGUAGCUGGUCUGAGAGGACGAACAGCCACACUGGGACUGAGAUACGGCCCAGACUCCUACGGGAGGCAGCAGUAUGGAAUAUUGGACAAUGGGCGAAAGCCUGAUCCAGCAAUGCCGCGUGUGUGAAGAAGGCCUGCGGGUUGUAAAGCACUUUCGAUUGGGAAGAAAAGCUUAGAGUUAAUACCUCUGAGUCUUGACAUCAGCAAUAGAAGAAGCACCGGCUAACUCUGUGCCAGCAGCCGCGGUAAUACAGAGGGUGCGAGCGUUAAUCGGAAUUACUGGGCGUAAAGCGUGCGUAGGUGGUUGAGUAAGUCGGAUGUGAAAGCCCAAGGCUUAACCUUGGAAUUGCAUUCGAUACUGCUGAGCUAGAGUACAGUAGAGGGAAGCGGAAUUCUUAGUGUAGCGGUGAAAUGCGUAGAUAUUAAGAAGAACACCAGUGGCGAAGGCGGCUUCCUGGACUGAUACUGACACUGAGGUACGAAAGCGUGGGGAGCAAACAGGAUUAGAUACCCUGGUAGUCCACGCCCUAAACGAUAGAACUAGAUGUUGGGGGAAAUUGAUCCUUUAGUAUCGUAGCUAACGCGCUAAGUUCUCCGCCUGGGGAGUACGGCCGCAAGGUUAAAACUCAAAUGAAUUGACGGGGGCCCGCACAAGCGGUGGAGCAUGUGGUUUAAUUCGAUGCAACGCGAAGAACCUUACCUGGCCUUAACAUCCUUGGAACCUCGCAGAAAAGUGAGGGUGCCUUCGGGAACCGAGAGAUAGGUGCUGCAUGGCUGUCGUCAGCUCGUGUCGUGAGAUGUUGGGUUAAGUCCCGCAACGAGCGCAACCCUUGUCCCUAGUUGCCAGCGAUUCGGUCGGGAACUCUAGAGAGACUGCCGGUGACAAACCGGAGGAAGGUGGGGAUGACGUCAAGUCAUCAUGGCCCUUACGGCCAGGGCUACACACGUGCUACAAUGGGUAGUACAGAGGGUUGCAAACCCGCGAGGGGGAGCUAAUCUCACAAAACUACUCGUAGUCCGGAUUGGAGUCUGCAACUCGACUCCAUGAAGUCGGAAUCGCUAGUAAUCGCGGAUCAGCAUGUCGCGGUGAAUACGUUCCCGGGCCUUGUACAAAAUAAAUGCGCCUGGCAGUUUAUUAGACUAGGUGGUGAAAAUCCAUCUAUCCGCUUUCGGACGGCGGAUAUAGGGAAGGAUAGGACACGCUCCGUAAGGAAGUGUCUGAAGGAUCUGGAACCAAUGGUAGUCUCGGCAGAAAAGGGCGUUGUGACUUAUGUGUGUACCAUAAGGAAGCAACAUACCGUAAAGCCCGCUGGGAAUGUCAGAAAUAGCCUAAUAAAUGACCCAGGGAUAUCCUGUUAGUUAAGAGAACUAGUAAGCGACUAACAGGAAGUCAGCAGAUUCGUAGUAGCCGAUACGUCGGCAAAGGAUGAAACCUAUGAGAGAAAUCUCACCUGAGAAUAUUUCAGGCUUUGUCGUAGGUGAAGGAUGCUUUUAUGUGGAAAGUGGUAAAGAUCCUAAGUACAAAUUAGGAUAUAGAGUAAGAGCUGCUUUUUGCAUUGAACUAAGAGAAGAUGAUCAAGUGAUACUUGAGGCCAUUCAAAAAACCUUAGGAUGUGGCAAUAUUUACCAGCUUGAUUUUGGUAGAUAUAAAGGUUACUCAAAAAAGGGUUGGAUACCUCAUGUAAAGUAUAGAGUGAGCAAUCAAAAUGAUCUCAUUCACAAGGUCAUACCUUUCUUUGAAAGGUAUCCACUUUUUGGUAAAAAGCAAAAAUCAUUUGAUGUUUUUAUCAAGAUUGUAGAUAAAAUAAGACUCAAAGAGCAUCUAACGCCUGAUGGUUUAGAAAAAACUAAGUUAUUGGUUUCUGAACUCAAAGCUCUGAAUAAGAAAGGCAUGUAGGACUCGCUGGAUGCGCUAGACACGCUUGUCCAGUGGGAACGCGACAAUAGUUCUAAUGAUCGCAAUCACCGCCCGUCACACCAUGGGAGUGGGCUGUACCAGAAGUAGGUAGUCUAACCUUUCGGGGAGGACGCUUACCACGGUAUGGUUCAUGACUGGGGUGAAGUCGUAACAAGGUAGCCGUAGGGGAACCUGCGGCUGGAUCACCUCCUUUAAAGAAAAAAGUUUCAAUCUGCGGCGUUGAGUGCCCACACAAAUUACUUGAUCAUUCAUUACUGAAUAUGGUGGUAGCAGCAUAUAGGGGUCUAUAGCUCAGCUGGUUAGAGCGCACGCCUGAUAAGCGUGAGGUCGGUGGUUCAAGUCCACCUAGACCCACCAAUAUCGGGGGCUAUAGCUCAGCUGGGAGAGCGCCUGAUUUGCAUUCAGGAGGUCAGCGGUUCGAUCCCGCUUAGCUCCACCAAAGUAGUGUUUAGUGGUAAACAUUGACGUUUCAAUCAAUAUUUACCACUAAAUAUUAGUAUAGAUUUAGUAUGUUCUUUAACAAUUAGGAAGCUGAUGUAAAACGUCAGAUGUUAUCUCAUACUCAUAGAGAUAAUAUCUUGGGUAUAUUGCAUUCGCAGCAUAAGAAACAGAACGCUAUAAUUCCAAAAUUUUUGGGGUUAUAGGGUCAAGU
rnacentral:tRNA from 1 species